rfam:Trichobilharzia regenti genome assembly, scaffold: TRE_scaffold0025398
GUAUUGAUGAAGAGUCCCAGACUAGGAUGAAACGGCUGUCUAGUAU